rnacentral:lncRNA from 1 species
GGUUCGCCAAUAACUCACCUUUCAAUCCCAAAGUGGGGAGGGAGCUCCAAGUGCACCCAAGCCCGGGACCGUCUGCGGACCUCCAUGUGGUCCGGACCUCCAAGUGGUCCUAGUCGCACGACACUCCGGAGUACUCGACGACAAUCCCCUCCAUGUGGGAUUGGAUGGCUAUACCACCCUAAACGCAGACUGUGAGCUAGAUCUAUCCUCUCCAAGUGAGGAUACACUGUAACUAGGGUCAACACCCAAUCCAAUCCUCUCCAAGUGAGUAGGCUCUACAACUAGAGUCAAUAAUCCAAUCGAAUCCUCUCCAAGUGAGAAUGCUCUACAACUGGAGUCAACAACCCAAUCAAAUCCUCUCCAAGUGAGGAUGCUCUACAACUAGAGUCAAUAUCUCAAUAACUCAUCGACAACCUCUCCAUGUGAGGGUACUUAGGUUUACUAAGUUCUUUAUCCACAAGGCAUUUUCUAAGGGAUUCACCUAUCCCUAGGUUCUCAAACCUCUAGUGUCAAAUACACUACAUUAAUGCCACUCGAUAUGUUCUUGUUUUCCAAAGUCAAUUUCUCUAAUCGACCAAGUUCAACAUGCAUAAUUCAUCUACUAUGUUCCAUAAUAUGGCAACAUGCAUAAUUCUUCUAUCAUAUUCAAUAUAUGUCAUCAUGUAUGUGUUUCUAUUUAACAUAAUCCACAUAUCAUCUCAUUGGUAGGUAAUAUCAACUACAUAAUAUGUUUCAAGCAUUCAUAUUAUCAUGUAAGCCUACCAAUACAACUAUAUGCAUCAAUGUGAAUUCGUAUGUUUCUUAGACAUAAAGGGCGACCUAGUCGCUUCGGUAAGCACAACCCACCUCAAAUCGCUUUCCGAUUGCUUGUCGACACUUGGAAUCGGCCUCCCGCGGCGCCCGUAACCCGGUUUGGCCCGAUCUCGCGCGCGACCACCCGAACGGCCUCCAAUUCACGAUCUGAAAAUUAAAGGUCUUCGGUUAUGUGCCACGGUGCUUCAAAUCCGUUUCAUGGGUUUACGAUGUCGCCUCGGCCCUCCAGGCGGAAACGAAGCCUAAACGUCCGUUUCUUUAAUAACUUCGCACCGGCUCGACGAAUCGCCGAACCGUCUUCGCCAACGCGUUCGUUUACCUAGCAAUUAGGUUUACGGAGGGUCAAAUUAGAUCAAACCCUUAUAUUUUACAAAACCCCAUUCGGAGCCCUAAUAUGCAAUUAACCUUAAAAUAAUCCAAAUUAAAUGGAUCAACAUGCUAACAAAGCUCAUUAGAGGCUAUUAGAACACUUAAAGCUAAGGAUUAAGCCAAAUUUCAAAAGCUUACCACAAUGUGAACGCCGCGACGAAAAUAUGCCGCUCCAACGGGCGCACGAAAGCUCGAUCCGUCGCCUCCAACGCAUUCGCAAGCAUCUUCUCCACCAACCCUCCAAUUUUUAGAGAGAGAUUUAGAGAGAUGAGAGAGAUCUCUAGAGAGAGAAGGGAGGGUUUCCCUCCCCCUCCAUGCGUGUGUGUGUGUGUGUGUGUGUGGUGUGUGUGCGGCUGAAGGAGAAGAAGAGGAGUCAACACUCCACUUUAGUCAACACCACAACACUAUUCACUCCCGGGCAGUUCGAAAUCUGAUAUCUUUCGCCGGAACUCCCUGAACAUCCGUUUGAGCUCAAAGUUCACAGUUAUGUUCGGUUUUAUGUACUGAGUAAGAAUAUAUUUUAAGUUUUCAGUUUCGACCCCGUUUGGUCACUGAAAACUAUAUCGAACUGUAAUUUUUAUCAGAUAGCUGUCGGAUUUUAUUUCUCACUCUACGGGUGUCAAAAAAAUAUGAAACUUUAAAUCUAGUCUCAUAAAAAUAUUUCUGACUUAUCCUCCAAUUUUCAUAAUUUUCUGAGACUGUGCAUUUUCUGCCUAUUUAUCUGUCCCGUUUCCAACAGAAAAUUCUAGAUCUUCUAUUUUCAUUUCGAUUUCAGCACAAGUCACUUCUAACUUAUGUUUUACUCCUCUAAAUCCAAUAAAAAUAGUAUCUCACACUAUUUUUAUUUAUUUUUAUUUUUAUAUUUAAAAUUCGGUAUAUUACAUUCCACCGCAACCUCACCGGAAUCAUUCAAAUGGCUUUCAAGCCAAAUGUACACCGUAACUUCCUAAUUUAGAAGUCCGGUACCUUACAUCCUCCCCUCCUUAACAGAGUUUCGUCCUCGAAACUAUCUCACUUCAAUUCCAAUUCAUACCCCAACUCAACUUAUCAAAUAGUUGGGAGUUCCAAUGCACUUUUGCAUCUCGGAGUGGCCUUUCACUCAUCAGAACUAUCCAAAGGUUCACUAUGGAGGAUGUGAGGCCAAUCUCACUCACAUAUGCCAUGUGUAAACCCAAAAGUGCAUUACCACCAUGCAAAGAACUACUCUUGCAUUAUACACCCAAUCGAAAAAUUUCACUCCGAUUCGAUCACCUACAUUGCUUAGAAGCAAUAUCGUUGGUGACUCGACCAAUCGCGAGUGGUUCAUCACAACCGGAUCCUUGCUCUAUCACGAGAUGGCCCACUCCGGCACAUCUCCAAUCUCAAUCCACAAAAGAGCAUUGUCCUCAAGCUCCAAUUCCUACGUGGCUAUCCACAUCUCAAUGUCACACAAGAGCACUUCGCCCUUGAUAUCAUAAGCCACGACCAACUCUGCUUUGCUCUUGCGACAAAUCCAUACGAACCCUCCGUUCGUGAAUCCAAGCCAAACUCACUAAUAGAGUUAUCGGCUAAACCGAUUACGUCGGUUUCCAUCGGUGGACCAACGGUCACCCGUCCUACGUAGGUCUACCGCCUAAACCUCUUACAACUACGCAUAGCGUCCCUCGCUCACCAGCGUAGACCCAAUCAUAAUCGGGCGAGAUUCUCAUUGGAGAAUUCGCACACACUCCAACCAGGAGCAACCGUGACCCCAAACCACCUCAAAUCCUCGGGUUGGGUCACUACACACUCGGUGUAUCCUCGAUCUCAUGAUCCAACACGUGGCAUUCCACGCUCCCGGGUCUAAGCUCGGACUUCCGUCCUGACCGAAUCUCUGCCCUACCCGUAGGUACCAGGCCGCUGUCUCUCACAGCUGAUUGCGCCUGCCCAAAGGGCCCAGGCUCCACAGUCCACAAAUGGUCCAGGCAUGGGUUGUCCCCAAGCACUACCAGCCGUCGUCGUACCACACGACAUACUCUAUCGAGCUAUAAAUACACUAUCGGCUCCUAAGCACCUAGUGCGAGCCACCAGCCCUACGAGUGAUCCAUGGCCCGCUUCACACUUAGCAAUGCUGAGUGCUACUGCCAACUCACUCUCCCGGCUGAAUCGAAACCGCACUCUACGAGUACCCACACUCGAGCACUCUAUAUGCCUCUAUAGCGUUCUACACGAAGUCCAGCAUUAGGCAAUCUUGCCUAUGCACACCAGUCGCACGAGCGCAACCACCUACCUCACCUUGAGGUACUAUUAGGCCCACGUGCUCAAACUUGGCCACUAAUCGACCGUUCUCUCAACAGUGAUGCUACUUUCACUGUUCGAUAUAUCGGAAUGACAUCCGAAAUUUUCGAACUACUUGGGUGUUCUCAUAAGCAUCAUGGCUCAACUCUCGCAAUUUACUACUCAUAUUGCUCUGAGAGUCGUUUCGCCACUUCUAUCUCUACCGCGAGUCUCACUUCUCGCCAUAGAUUACCUCUAGCACUUCGCUAGUGCCAUCUGGCUCUAUACCUGUACUGGCAGGUACUACGCCCUCAGAUAACACAAAACUCCAUUUCUAGAGCAAUCAAACCUAUCUCUAGAAAUCCACCAUGAGAGAGAGCUUAGAAGCUUACCUCUCCAAGAAGCUCCAACCAAGGAGAAGAUGAAGAAGAUAAGGAAGACCUCCUUCUCCUUCUCUUUCUUUCCUUUCCUUCCUUCUUCCUCUUCUUGUCUUCUAGAGAGAGAAAGAGAGAUAUGAGAGGGUGUGUGGGUGAGAAAUGAGAUAAAAGAGCUCUCAUACUCCUCACAUAGCCUCACGUGUUGCAUAAAUGCAAAUAAGCCCCUCGACUUUCAUCCUUGUGCACAGCCCUCACUCGGCAUUUUGCGCCCAGAGGGACCGGUCCCUCGUCGGGGAGACCGGUCCCCGAGAGCCCUCUCCGCGGCCUGGGGACCUUUCGCGUACGGGAACCGGUCCCCACCCGAGAGACCGGUCCCUGGGAGACCGGUCCUUCCUGAGAGACCGGUCCCCGAGAGCCGAAUUUUCAGGACUUAGCCUUUCUUUGCCCUUCUCUCGCUGGUGUCGCAUACGGGGACCGGUCCCCUCAACCAGGGACCGGUUGCAUCAACCUCCCCCGCAACCAUCAGCUACGGGGACCGGUCCUCCCUUCCAGGGACCGGUCCCCGAGAGCAAAAUCUGCUAAGUCCAGAUUCUUGCAUAUUUGCUCUCGUGGACACGUUUCCAAUGCACUUUUUGUGUUUUGGACAUCUUUAGCUUUUCCGAAGGAUACUCACUCGACAAAGAGUCGAUCCUGAACGAAGCACAACUCUUGAAUUUCGAGAAUUCACUUCCUUACAUGCACAACCUCGACCACGUCUGGCUAAGGUCUCCGCUGAGGCAUUACCCUACCACUCACACGAGAGUGGCCAAUCACUCGCGAAGUCCCAAGUCUCCGCUCGUUUCGGAUUGCUUAGGGACGCCACUCGUCCCAUCCCACGCCGAUCUAGAUUAAGAUCGCCUACGCGGUGCUAUCGCUUCCUAAGACACGACAACUCGGUCGAUUCUCGACCCUCAAUGUCUAGCGCGAAACAACUGACACCGACUCGAAUCGGGCGAAAGUCAUGCAAGGGUGUCUAUUCUCAUCACUCGGUUUCAUGUUGUGUAUACCCAACAUGAACACCCUCGGUUGAAAAUAAACCACACCUCGAGUCUACCUCUAACAUCCGUUUUAGAGGUUUACUAACCUGACCCAAUUGAUCAAUCUUUCGCCAUAAGUCACAAGUCCUCGUAUCUCACGAGCCUUAUUCUCCUAUGGUUUACUGUCCUAGGGUCUCCUAGGUCCAUCUAAACAAUUGCCCAUUCUCUACUUUCUGCUCUGAUACCACUAUUAUCUGUCACGACCCGCGACCACCUGCCUAUUUGGCCGGGUCGCGGCGCCGCCGACAGACCGCCGAACGGACAGAGUCUCCCCUGUACGUCCUAGGCGUCGCAAUCAAUUCCAAUACAAGAAGUUCCAACCAGGAACAGUAUUCAAGCAAGAUUGCAUAAGAAAGGUAUCAAACAACAUAACACAUCCUAUGUUAUUACAAGCAUUCCUAUUAGAUUCAUUUUUACAUCACAUUUGCAUUAUUACAUUACAUUUUCUUCCAAAUACAAUCAAUGAUCGCAAUAUUAUUACAAGUUUGCUCUUUUUCUUUUCCCUCUACCCCUAGGCUAUGCCGACUCGGGGUACCUCUAUCUCUGGUCUCUCGGGUAGGGCGCUAUCUAUGGAGCUACGCCCUCGCCUCGCGCCGCCGCGCCGCUCACGUGUGAACCUGUAACACCCCAAAACAACGUGGGGUGAGAACCAACUCCAUGGUUCCCAGUGGGUACGGCCACCCAAGGGAAAAGCUCGACCAAUAGGUCUAAGGAGGCCCUGCAACAUGUUAGUCCAACAGAUAUCCAACAGAUAUAUAUAUUCAAGUAUUGAAAUACAUGUUGUGCCUCACAAAAUGCAAUAUGAAAUUCAUGCAGUUUAUGCAACCAUGCAACCAACUAGUAGUUCAAUCGAUACUACUUUCAUUCCUGUUAUUCACAGUUCAACCAAUUGACUUCUAAGUUUUCCUCAAUCUUAGAUUCUUGUCAAUUACAAUUCUGCUCAUAGGGUUUAACCUGCUUUUAUAAGCUAUCCACUCGACUCGGUCUUGAGUCAAUCACACGCGGAAUACCGCACAAAGUAGGGCUCAAGGGGAAGGAUGUCUCACAUGCACCUCAGCCCUAAAUCCACUCAACUGGGAUGCAACUAAAACUCAUACCAUGCAUCAAAUAGUAAAGGUUUACUAUCAUGCUAACAAAUUCGAUCCAUGUUCAAAUAAUAAUGUUCAAUGACACUGUUCACUGUUCUUUUACCCAAUCUGUAGCGAAGCCCUAGGGUUCGUCAAUAACUCAUCUUUCAAUCCCAAAGGGGGGAGGGAGCUCCAAGUGCACCCAAGCCCGGGACUGUCUGCGGACCUCCAUGUGGUCCGGACCUCCAAGUGGUCCUAGUCGCGCGACACUCCGGAGUACUCGACGACAAUUCCCUCCAUGUGGGGAUUGGAUGGCUAUACCACCCUAAACGCAGACUGUGAGCUAGAUCUAUCCUCUCCAAGUGAGGAUACACUGUAACUAGGGUCAACACCCAAUCCAAUCCUCUCCAAGUGAGGAGGCUCUACAACUAGAGUCAAUAACCCAAUCGAAUCCUCUCCAAGUGAGGAUGCUCUACAACUGGAGUCAACAACCCAAUCAAAUCCUCUCCAAGUGAGGAUGCUCUACAACUAGAGUCAAUAUCUCAAUAACUCAUCGACAACCUCUCCAUGUGAGGGUACUUAGGUUUACUAAGUUCUUUAUCCACAAGGCACUUUCUAAAGGUUCACCUAUCCCUAGGUUCCCAAACCUCUAGUGUCAAAUACACUACAUUAAUGCCACUCGAUAUGUUCUUGUUUUCCAAAGUCAAUUUCUCUAAUCGACCAAGUUCAACAUGCAUAAUUCAUCUACUAUGUUCCAUAAUAUGGCAACAUGCAUAAUU